rnacentral:rRNA from 1 species
ACGGAGGAUCCAAGCGUUGUCCGGAUUUAUUGGGUUUAAAGGGUACGUAGGCGGGACGAUAAGUCAGUGGUGAAAGCCUGUAGCUCAACUACAGAACUGCCAUUGAAACUGUCGUCCUUGAGUUCGGUCGAGGUGGAUGGAAUAUAUCAUGUAGCGGUGAAAUGCUUAGAUAUGAUAUAGAACACCGAUUGCGAAGGCAGUCCACUAGACCGACACUGACGCUGAGGUACGAAAGCAUGGGUAUCGAACAGG